rnacentral:rRNA from 1 species
AACGUAGGUGGCAAGCGUUGUCCGGAAUUAUUGGGCGUAAAGCGCGCGCAGGCGGUCCCUUAAGUCUGAUGUGAAAGCCCACGGCUCAACCGUGGAGGGUCAUUGGAAACUGGGGGACUUGAGUGCAGAAGAGGAAAGUGGAAUUCCAUGUGUAGCGGUGAAAUGCGUAGAGAUGUGGAGGAACACCAGUGGCGAAGGCGACUUUCUGGUCUGUAACUGACGCUGAGGCGCGAAAGCGUGGGGAGCAAACAGG